UGCCUGAUGGACGUGGCUCUCGUCACGA
rnacentral:piRNA from 1 species